AUCCCUUGACAUCCUGCGAACUUUCUAGAGAUAGAUUGGUGCCUUCGGGAACGCAGUGACAGGUGCUGCAUGGCUGUCGUCAGCUCGUGUCGUGAGAUGUUGGGUUAAGUCCCGCAACGAGCGCAACCCUUAUCAUUAGUUGCUAACAUUUAGUUGAGAACUCUAAUGAGACUGCCGGUGAUAAACCGGAGGAAGGCGGGGACGACGUCAAGUCAUCAUGGCCCUUAUGGGAUGGGCUACACACGUGCUACAAUGGGGGGUACAAAGAGCAGCCAACUGGCGACAGUGCGCGAAUCUCAUAAAACCUCUCGUAGUCCGGAUCGGAGUCUGCAACUCGACUCCGUGAAGUCGGAAUCGCUAGUAAUCGUGAAUCAGAAUGUCACGGUGAAUACGUAAAAAGGGGUCCU
rnacentral:rRNA from 1 species